rnacentral:pre_miRNA from 1 species
CGGCGGAGGCUUUUGCAAUGUAUCUAGCGGAAUGUAUUGCACUUUCCUUCGCCUUA